UACGUAGGGUGCGAGCGUUGUCCGGAAUUACUGGGCGUAAAGAGCUCGUAGGUGGUUUGUCGCGUUGUUCGUGAAAACUCACAGCUUAACUGUGGGCGUGCGGGCGAUACGGGCAGACUUGAGUACUGCAGGGGAGACUGGAAUUCCUGGUGUAGCGGUGGAAUGCGCAGAUAUCAGGAGGAACACCGGUGGCGAAGGCGGGUCUCUGGGCAGUAACUGGCGCUGAGGAGCGAAAGCGUGGGGAGCGAACAGG
rnacentral:rRNA from 1 species